GUGGGUGCUCCAGCACCUGCGGAAAGUUUUGGACGCCCACGAGUCCGUCAUUAUCAUAUUCCACUGAUCCCACCCCCAUAGGGGUCCCUCACUCACGCAAUAGGAACUAUGUCGGAGAGGGAUUUGGUGUGUGUGGCUUCGGCCUUCACGGUGCAGAGGGGGCGCGCUUCCGUUGAGUUCCGACGGGCUGGUGCCGGAGCAGUCGCUGAGCACGGGCUUUUCGUGUAUGGCCAAGCCUCGCGCCGCCUCACGUUUGCGGCGCUGCAGGCGGAUUACGCCGGCUCUCGCUUGCACACCAUGAGCUUCAACGAUUUGGGAAAAGGCGGAAGUCCUGCGCACGUGGAGAUUCUGAUCGCGGAUGGUUCCAAUCAUGAUGCUGCUGCGGGAGGUGGUGCAGGUGUCCGAGGAGUGCACCCAUCGCCUCGAGGGCCCCGCCCGCGCCCGCUGCCGGGAGACGAAGCGGGUGCUGGCGUGGGGCGAGUGGCGGCGGGUCUGGGAGGACAUGGAUGCUGCCGUCUCUGAGGAGCUCCAUCGCGGACCGGCACACCCACGGAGGAGGAUCCGCGGCCGCGCUUCCGUCUCUCCCCUUCCGUGCUCGACCCGUGGCAUGCACGCAAGGCGUCGCCGCAGGGCGGAAACAGCGUGUGCCGGCUCAUUCUAGUGGCGGCAUCGACGGCGGAGCGGAUGGAUUCACCGGAGACCGCGGCGCAAGCAUCCAUGUCGUGGGAAUGGCAGAGCAAUGUAUGGCUGCUGAUGUCGGUAGCGGGGUCCUGGGUGGCGUGGCGUCGGAGUGAGCGGUGACAGUGCACACGCUUGCGUCAUCCAUAUGGGAGGCAACGUGUCAGUGUGACUCCAACGCAUCCUCUCCCCCCCACACACACACAUCCCCGGCCCUCACACCGACUUCUUGGCGGAGAGUCUGAGCCACCCCGGCGGGGAUGCGGCAGAGAGGGGGGCGACGGGCAUAAUGCGGGCAGCGGCUAUGAAGCGACGUGGGAAGCGGGGUGUGGGCUGCGUUCGAGGCAGGGGCCGUGCUCCGACGACUGAGCCGGCGCAUCGCCGUACCCGCGCGUCUCCCGCUGCUUUGCGCCACGCGAUGGGUGCCUGUGACACGGGCCAGAGGGGGAGGGGCGGUGGUGGCGUGCAGUUCAUGCGCCACGGUAGCGAAAUGCACGCGUUGCCGAAGAUGUUUCACGAGCGCUGUAAAGCGCGCUUUCCGUCUCCAACGCCUCUCCCUUCCAAUGGAAACCGACGAGCAAGCAGAAGGCAAGAAAAAAGUUGGAAAGCGUACAUAGACGGGCUGCAGCUGAGCAGACAGAGCGAGGCCUGCCCAUCGUCUAUCUUACCACGCCUCAGCUGCCCUCCGUGGGUGCGUCGUGUCACGACAGUACUUAAGAGUUGGAAAGGGGUGGUGGCUGCUAGUGCUAGUGCCUCACCUCAGUCUGCUGUGCUCCCAGUCUCUCCCUCGUCGACGCUGCC
rnacentral:misc_RNA from 1 species